GACGAACGCUGGCGGCGUGCUUAACACAUGCAAGUCGAACGAAGUGGCGAACGGGUGAGUAAUACGUGGGUAACCUGCCCUCCUUUUUGGGAUAAGCCUUGGAAACGGGGUCUAAUACCGGAUAGUGUGGGAUGGGCCCGCGGCCUAUCAGCUUGUUGGUGGGGUAAUGGCCUACCAAGGCGGCGACGGGUAGCCGGCCUGGGAGGGUGGACGGCCACAUUGGGACUGAGACACGGCCCAGACUCCUACGGGAGGCAGCGGUGGGGAAUCUUGCGCAAUAGGCGGAAGCCUGAUGCAGCGACGCCGCGUGGGGGAUGACGGCCUUCGGGUUGUAAACUCCUUUCACCAUCGACGCGGUAGAUGGAGAAGAAGCACCGGCUAACUACGUGCCAGCAGCCGCGGUAAUUC
rnacentral:rRNA from 1 species